GAAUGGUUAUGGCUACGUCUAUUGCAGCCCUGCAUUGUUGCCUUAUUGAUGCUUCAUUAGCUGGUGCCUCAAUCUGUCUUUCAAUAUUGGCUGGCUAUUUGUUUGGGACAGAGGAAUGAUGAUCACUGUACUGGUUUUUCUCUUCCUGGUCAUCUGCACAAACCACUCAAUGAUAUGCUUCACCUGGCAUGGACUUCAUGUUUAUGGAGCCUGGCUCAAGACAUACCACAAACCAGACUUGUGGCUCCUCUGUGUGUUGGUUCAGAAUGGUGUGAUGAUAUACACAACAUGGACAACCAUUGAAACACUAAUUAACCUGAGCCUUGUACUGACUUAUGAUGUAAAGAUGUCCCCAACAGAUGCUGCAACCCUUUCAUACUCUGUUUUGGCUGCUG